rnacentral:rRNA from 1 species
AAAGGGGACUUGACUGUUUCCUUUCGGGCCUUCCUACGUUUCAACUUUAUAAACCACCAUAGUCUAUAGAAUGUCAUCUGCGUAUAACGCAACUUAAUACAACUUUCAGCAACGGAUCUCUUGGCUCUCGCAUCGAUGAAGAACGCAGCGAAAUGCGAUAAGUAAUGUGAAUUGCAGAAUUCAGUGAAUCAUCGAAUCUUUGAACGCAACUUGCGCCCCUUGGUAUUCCGAGGGGCAUGCCCGUUUGAGUGUCAUGGAAUUCUCAACUCACACAUUCUUGUUGAAUGUGUGGGCUUGGAUUUGGAGGUUUUUGCUGGCCGUCGGUCAGCUCCUCUUGAAUGCAUUAGCUUGAACCCCUUGCGGAUCGGCUUUCGGUGUGAUAAUUGUCUACGCCGUGGGCUGUGAAGCGACUUGUGUUGGGCUCAGCUUCUAAUCGUCUCUUUUGAGACAAUACAUUUUGACCUCUGACUCAAAUCGGGUAGACCUACC